rnacentral:rRNA from 1 species
CCGGCUAACUACGUGCCAGCAGCCGCGGUAAGACGUAGGAUCCGAGCGUUGUCCGGAGUUACUGGGCGUAAAGCGCGCGCAGGCGGACUGUCGCAUCGGCGGUGAAAGCCCCCCGCUCAACGGGGGAGGGUCCGUCGAGAUGGGCAAUCUGGAGGCAGGGAGAGGCGAGUGGAAUUCCGGGUGUAGUGGUGAAAUGCGUAGAGAUCCGGAGGAACACCAGUGGCGAAGGCGGCUCGCUGGACCUGACCUGACGCUGAGGCGCGAAGGCGUGGGGAGCGAACGGGAUUAGAUACCCCGGUAGUCCACGCAGUAAACGAUGGGUACUAGGUGUGGCGGGAGUUGACCCCUGCCGUGCCGGCGCUAACGCAGUAAGUACCCCGCCUGGGGAGUACGGCCGCAAGGCUAAAACUCAAAGGAAUUGACGGGGGCCCGCACAAGCAGCGGAGCGUGUGGUUUAAUUCGACGCAACGCGCAACACCUUACCACGGUUUGACAUCCACCGAACCUGCCUGAAAGGGCGGGGUGCCUUCGGGAGCGGUGAGACAGGUGCUGCAUGGCUGUCGUCAGCUCGUGUCGUGAGAUGUUGGGUUAAGUCCCGCAACGAGCGCAACCCCCGUGGCUAGUUACGAGGUGUGUCUAGCCAGACUGCCGGAACCAAACCGGAGGAAGGUGGGGAUGAUGUCAAGUCAGCAUGGCCCUUACACCGUGGGCGACACACACGCUACAAUGGCCGGGACAAUGGGCAGCCAAGCGGUAACGCGGAGCCAAUCCCCCAAACCCGGUCUCAGUUCAGAUCGUGGGCUGCAACUCGCCCACGUGAAGGCGGAGUUGCUAGUAACCGCCGGUCAGCAUUACGGCGGUGAAUAUGUUCCCGGGCC